GGCGACGUAGCCAAGUGGUAAGGCGGGGGUCUGCAAAACCCCUAUCCUGGGUUCGAUUCCCAGCGUCGCCUCCA
rnacentral:tRNA from 2 species